rnacentral:rRNA from 1 species
UUUUUUUUUAGGGAAUUAAAGUUUUAACAAGUUUCCGUCAGGGAAACAGCGGAGGGAUCAUUACCGAGUUACCAACUCCAAACACGCUGUGGACGCACCGCCCUCUAAAUUCGGCGGGCGGGCCCCGGGGGGGCCCUUACAGGCCUCCGGCCGCCCCGCCGGAGGACGUACCCUUCCCAAGGCGAAGACCUCUGAGUGUCAUCGAAAACAAGUCAAAACUUUUCAACAACGGAUCUCUUGGUUCUGGCAUCGAUGAAGAAACGCAGCGAAAUGCGAUAAGUAAUGCGAAUUGCAGAAUUCAGUGAGUCAUCGAAUCUUUGAACGCACAUUGCGCCCGCCGGCCACUCCGGCGGGCAUGCCUGUCCGAGCGUCAUCGCAAGCCCUCAGGCCCGUCCUGGGUGCUGGCGGACCGCGGCCCCAGCGGCCGCGGCCGCCCAAACCCGCCGGCGGCAGCUGCGGCGCCCCCCCGCGAAGUCACUACGCUCGCCUGGGGACGGCGCGGCCGCCCGCCCGACACCGAGCUCUGCUCGCAGGUUUGACCUCGGAUCAGGUAGGAGUACCCGCUGAACUUAAGCAUAUCAAUAAGCGGAGGAAAAGAAACCAACAGGGAUUGCCCCAGUAACGGCGAGUGAAGCGGCAACAGCUCAAAUUUGAAAUCCGGCCCCGCGCCCGAGUUGUAAUUUGCAGAGGAUGCUUCUGGCAACGCGCCUUCCAAAGUGCCCUAGGACGGGACGCCGCAGAGGGUGAGAGCCCCGUACGGUCGGCCGCCGAGCCUCUGUGAAAGCUCCUUUCGACGAGUCGAGUAGUUUUGGGAAUGCUGCUCUAAGCGGGGAGGUAUACCCCUUUCUAAAGCUAAAUACCGGCCAGAGACCGAUAGCGCACAAGUAGAGUGAUCGAAAAGAUGAAAAGCACUUUGGAAAGAGAGUUAAACAAGCACGGUGAAAUUGUUUGAAAAGGGAAGCGCUUUGCGACCAGAACUUGCGUCCGGCGGUUUCAGCUGGCCGUUCUCGCCAGUGCACUCCGCCGGGCUCAGGCCAGCAAUCGGUUCGCCGCCGGGGAGAAAGGCGGUGGGAAUGUGUUUCCUUACGGGGUGUUAUAGCCCGCCGCUUAUGCCCUCCGGCGGACCGAGGUACGCGUCCGGAAGAUGUUUAGCGUAAUGGUCUCAACCACCUUUUAAAAACGAACAAAAA